AUUGAACGCUGGCGGCAGGCCUAACACAUGCAAGUCGAACGAGUGGCGGACGGGUGAGUAAUGUCUGGGAAACUGCCCGAUGGAGGGGGAUAACUACUGGAAACGGUAGCUAAUACCGCAUACCAUCGGAUGUGCCCAGAUGGGAUUAGCUAGUAGGUGGGGUAAAGGCUCACCUAGGCGACGAUCCCUAGCUGGUCUGAGAGGAGGACCAGCCACACUGGAAUGGAGACACGGGCCAGACUCCUACGGGAGGCGGCAGUGGGGAAGAUGGCACAAGGGGCGCAAGCUGGAUGCGGCCAUGCCGGGUGUAUGAAGAAGGCCUUGGGGUUGUAAAGGACUUUCAGCGAGGAGACGUUCCGCGCAGAAGAAGCACCGGCUAACUCCGUGCCAGCAGCCGCGGUAAUUC
rnacentral:rRNA from 1 species